UACGUAGGGUGCGAGCGUUGUCCGGAUUUAUUGGGCGUAAAGAGCUCGUAGGCGGUCUGUCGCGUCGGAUGUGAAAACCCAGGGCUCAACCCUGGGCCUGCAUUCGAUACGGGCAGACUAGAGUACGGCAGGGGAGACUGGAAUUCCUGGUGUAGCGGUGAAAUGCGCAGAUAUCAGGAGGAACACCGGUGGCGAAGGCGGGUCUCUGGGCCGAAACUGAUGCUGAAGAGCGAAAGCCAGGGGAGCAAACGGG
rnacentral:rRNA from 1 species